CUUCCGAGGCGGCGGCUUGGGCGCUACCCGCUGGGGCUCCGCUUCCCCGUGCGAGACCGCGCGUCCUUCCCAGCGAGGUCCCCGCGCGGCCGGGCCCAGUGCUUCUAAUACGAGGAAAAACAUGGAAUGACAAGUGUGGGAAAGAGCAAGCACUAAAUUACUGUCAGAAAAAUAAACGGAGUAGCACAGUGGUGCUCAGUGAUUUACGGGGGCAAUUAGCCACCACCCCACAGCGCUGCUGAGGACAGCAGGCCACAGAUGCAUCAGGCCCAAGAGGAAGAAGAGGCUUUGCUCUGCUCUCCAGACAACUUUUCAAACAACAAGAGAGAAUAUUUGAGUACAUUAGGUUCUGUGUCUUCAUUCUGGAAGCCCACCCUUCACAUUAUUCAAACAACCUAAUUAAUAAACAUAUUUUUGUGCAAAAUUGA